AUGAAAAAAAAGAAAGCAUUGCCUUCUUUACUAUAUCUUGUAUUUAUCGUACUUUUGCCUUGGGGGGUCUCUUCCUCAUUUAACAAAUGUCUGGAACUUUGGAUUAAGUAUUGGUGGAAUACCAGGCAAUCCGAAACUCUCUUAACUGAUAUUCAAGAGAAAAGGAUUCUAGAAAGAUUCAUAGAAUUAGAAGAACUUUCUCUCUUGGACGAGAUGAUAAAAGGGAAACUAAAGACACAUGUACAAAAACCUCCUACAGGAAUACACAAGGAAAUAAUACAAUGGGUCAAAAUAAAUAAUGAGGAUCAUCUCCAUACCAUUUUGCAUUUCUCGACAAAUAUAAUCUGUUUGGCUAUUCUAAGUGGUUCUUUUUUUCUGGGUAAAGAGGAACUUGUCAUUUUGAAUUCUUGGGUUCAGGAAUUCUUCUAUAAUUUAAAUGACUCAAUAAAAGCUUUUUUUAUUCUUUUAGUUACUGAUUUUUUUGUUGGAUUUCACUCCACCCGUGGUUGGGAACUAGUAAUUCGUUGGGUCUACAACGAUUUUGGAUGGGCUCCUAACGAGCUUAUUUUCACUAUUUUUGUUUGUAGUUUUCCAGUAAUUCUAGAUACAUGUUUGAAAUUUUGGGUCUUUUUUUGUUUAAAUCGUCUAUCUCCUUCGCUUGUAGUCAUUUAUCAUUCAAUUAGUGAAGCAUAA
rnacentral:rRNA from 1 species